rnacentral:rRNA from 1 species
UACGUAGGCAGCAAACGUUGUUCGGAAUUACUGGGCGUAAAGAGUGUGUAGGCGGUUUUGUAAGUUUGGGGUGAAAUCUCCCGGCCUAACUGGGGGGGUGCGCCGAAAACUGCAAGGCUUGAGUGCUGGAGAGGAGAGCGGAAUUCCUGGUGUAGCGGUGAAAUGCGUAGAUAUCAGGAGGAACACCGGCGGUGUAGACGGCUCUCUGGACAGUAACUGACGCUGAGACACGAAAGCGUGGGGAGCAAACAGG